rnacentral:rRNA from 1 species
UACGUAGGGGGCUAGCGUUGUCCGGAUUUAUUGGGCGUAAAGAGCUCGUAGGCGGUGUGUCACGUCGGCCGUGAAAACCUGCAGCUUAACUGUGGGCGUGCGGUCGAUACGGGCGUCACUGGAGUUCGGCAGGGGAGACUGGAAUUCCUGGUGUAGCGGUGAAAUGCGCAGAUAUCUGGAGGAAUACCGGUGGCGAAGGCGGCAUCCUGGACCGACAUUGACGCUGAGGAGCGAAAGCUAGGGGAGCAAACGGG